ACUUAAGUUAGUGAAAGUUUUAUUGGUGAUUCAAACAAGUUUCAUGCCAUUCGUAUUCAUUCAUUUGUUGAUUGCUUAACUUGUCCUACAUUAUUGCUCAACUUACCCCGCUAGGGCAGGUUGAGCUGCUCCGCAAAAUUUAGGUUUGAAAAUAUCAAAUAUAGGCAAUUGUAAUGUUAAAACAAUGUAAGUUCUGGACGUUUGUAUAUCGUGUAAGUUCUGGACGUUAGCUGGAGUUUGUAUGUCGGCACAUGAGUAUUUACACAAAUACACCUUCAUUUUAUUAUUUGACAAAAGUUAUGCAUUCUUUAACGUUAGUAUAUUUUAUUUUUUGUUUAUAAACACGGACAAUAUCGAAACGGGACUCGGUGAUAAGACAGUCAAUGCUCCGGCCAAUUUUUAUAAAUGUAAUAUGUCUUUAUUGUAAAUAUAUGAAAUGGCAAAAAAAUAAAUAAUAAAAUUACUUUCUUAAAUUAUUAGUUUAAUACAGUAGUUGCUUUUAUAUCAAGUUUGUUGUUACGUACAGUCAGCUUAAGUUUGUUGUUACGUACAGUCAGGUUAAGUUUGUUGUUGCGUAUAGUCAGCUUAAUACUGUGUGUAGUUUUUCCUGUCUGACUAUUUAUACUAACUUUUUGUUUGAAAAUUAAUAUUGAUUUAAUACUAUACAACUAUUUUAUUUCUGUUAUAACUGCUGCUGUUAAUUUGGUAAUAUCUUUGAUAUUAUUAUUAUUUUAUCAUAUUUACCGAGUGAGCACAAGACAUAAAAGUUUUUAUUAAUCUUAGAUUACAUCUGUAUUUUUUUUCUAUUGUAAUUCUUAUAAUUUUGUUUUCAAUUGAGCGAGUCAACAAAUAUAUCUUCAAGUGUUUGUUUCAAACUUGCUUUGCGUUAACUUGAGAACCAGUCUUCACCUUCUAGUUUUAAAUGUUUUAACACAUCUAAAAAAUGCAUUAACACGUUUUUAAACCUCUUCUAGACUUGGUAAACAGUUUUUUGUGCUUACUGGGUAAUUAAGAUUAGUUUUAAACUAUUUGUAAAUAGUCACAUGAUCAAAUGAUUUUUUGUCAAAACUAUGUAUUGAUUAUUCAAUUGAUAUUGUACCAAUUUGAGGUUCAAAUCCUCUUGUUUGUAAGAAUAAAUAAAAAAUAA